rnacentral:miRNA from 1 species
CCCCCAGAUGUUGCUGAACUACAACUCCCAUGAUUCUUUGCAUUAUAUAGCCAGAGAAUCAUGGGAGUUGUAGUUCAGCAACAUCUGAGGG